rnacentral:rRNA from 1 species
GACGAACGCUGGCGGCGUGCCUAAUACAUGCAAGUAGAACGCACAGUUUAUACCGUAGCUUGCUACACCAUAGACUGUGAGUUGCGAACGGGUGAGUAACGCGUAGGUAACCUGCCUGGUAGCGGGGGAUAACUAUUGGAAACGAUAGCUAAUACCGCAUAAUAUUAAUUAUUGCAUGAUAAUUGAUUGAAAGGUGCAAUUGCACCACUACCAGAUGGACCUGCGUUGUAUUAGCUAGUAGGUGAGGUAACGGCUCACCUAGGCGACGAUACAUAGCCGACCUGAGAGGGUGAUCGGCCACACUGGGACUGAGACACGGCCCAGACUCCUACGGGAGGCAGCAGUAGGGAAUCUUCGGCAAUGGACGAAAGUCUGACCGAGCAACGCCGCGUGAGUGAAGAAGGUUUUCGGAUCGUAAAGCUCUGUUGUAAGAGAAGAAACGGGUGUGAGAGUGGAAAGUUCACCACUGGG